rnacentral:rRNA from 1 species
UGGGGAAUAUUGGACAAUGGGCGAAAGCCUGAUCCAGCCAUGCCGCGUGUGUGAAGAAGGUCUUCGGAUUGUAAAGCACUUUAAGUUGGGAGGAAGGGCAGUAAGCGAAUACCUUGCUGUUUUGACGUUACCGACAGAAUAAGCACCGGCUAACUCUGUGCCAGCAGCCGCGGUAAUACAGAGGGUGCAAGCGUUAAUCGGAAUUACUGGGCGUAAAGCGCGCGUAGGUGGUUCGUUAAGUUGAAUGUGAAAGCCCCGGGCUCAACCUGGGAACUGCAUCCAAAACUGGCGAGCUAGAGGAGGGCAGAGGGUGGUGGAAUUUCCUGUGUAGCGGUGAAAUGCGUAGGUAUAGGAAGGAACACCAGUGGCGAAGGCGACCACCUGGGCUCAUACUGACACUGGGGUGCGAAAGCGUGGGGAGCAAACAGG